rnacentral:misc_RNA from 1 species
GUGAAUCAUCGAAUCUUUGAACGCACAUUGCGCCCAUUAGUAUUCUAGUGGGCAUGCCUGUUCGAGCGUCAUUUCAACCCUUAAGCCUAGCUUAGUGUUGGGAAUCUACUUCUCUUAGGAGUUGUAGUUCCUGAAAUACAACGGCGGAUUUGUAGUAUCCUCUGAGCGUAGUAAUUUUUUUCUCGCUUUUGUUAGGUGCUAUAACUCCCAGCCGCUAAACCCCCAAUUUUUUGUGGUUGACCUCGGAUCAGGUAGGAAUACCCGCUGAACUUAAGCAUAUCAAUAAGCGGAGGA